rnacentral:rRNA from 1 species
GAUUAACGCUGGCGGCGUGCAUAACACAUGCAAGUCGAACGAUGAAACUUAAAUGAUUUCUUCGGAAUGAACUUAAGUGGAUUAGUGGCGGACGGGUGAGUAACGCGUGAGUAACCUGCCUUACACAAGGGGAUAGCCGUUGGAAACGACGAAUAAUACCCUAUGAAACUAUCACUUCGCAUGAAGCGAUAGUCAAAGUGUUAGCGGUGUAAGAUGGACUUGCGUCUGAUUAGCUAGUUGGUGAGAAAAAAGCCCACCAAGGCAACGAUCAGUAGCCGGCUUGAGAGAGUGUACGGCCACAUUGGGACUGAGACACGGCCCAGACUCCUACCGGAGGCAGCAGUGGGGAAUUUUGCACAAUGGGGGAAACCCUGAUGCAGCGACGCCGCGUGAUUUAGAAGGCCUUCGGGUUGUAAAAAUCUUUUGUAUAGGAAGAAAAUGACAGUACUAUACGAAUAAGGUCCGGCUAAUUACGUG